rnacentral:lncRNA from 1 species
UCCGCACUGUUUUUUUUAAUGAAUUAAUGUCACAAAUUCUGACCAGUAAUAUUUAAUUUAUUUUAUUCGCAUACGAUGCGUCGUGUCCCUCUUUGAUUUGAAACCCAUGAAUUGAAUUGCUUUCGUGUAUUUUUGGACUCCCUGUGUGUAUGUAUACUACAUAUCCAUGUUUUUCUUUAUUCUCACCGAUUUCCAACAGAAAGAAUUGCCUAAGCCCUAAUAGAAGAAAAGAAAUUUAAUUGAAAUCUUUACACAUCAACAAAUCUUUAUCGUAAACCUCCAAAAUGGUUAAGGUUAUAAAAUGUGGCAGUUUAUAGAUGGUGAAUUCUAGGUUUUGAUCUAUGUUACAUAACUUGGAUAGAGUGUCAGGUGUGGGUGUUGUGUCUAAUGUUGGAUUUAUCUAAAUCCUAUGUUCACCGACAUGUGGAUACAACAAAAUAAUAUCUAUGACUAUACUUCUUCAUUUUCUAGGGUAAAUAGCGCUACCAAGGAAUUAUCGAGCAUUUUAGGCAUAAUAUAAGAGUUUUAUGCGUAAUUAUUUAUAUAUGGUAAUUCGAAAAACUAAUUGUUUCUCUUAGGUGAAUUCUCAACCACUCACGUCGGACGCAUAUCUAAUACCCGCUAACAUGGUAUAGUCAAAAGUGUCCAUAUGAAACAAGUUUUAAUGAUGUGCCAUAACCUUACAAAUAAAAAUGGAGAUCGCCAUUUCCAGCCAGGAUGAGAGAACCUAAAAAGGAAGAAAAAGACUAGCAGCAACACAUCUUCCACCGCUUAAUCCCCCAACUCUCCCACCUCUCUCAGAAGGAUGGGUGGUCCCACAUCACUCGUGUGGGGUCCACCCCCUAAUGAGAAGGAGCAUGUAAAAAUAUUGUGUCCGAGAAUAAAAUUAGUAUUAGAGCUAUUUCAAUUAAACCAUGAUAGAAAUUAAUUCCACUGACCUCUACAAAAUAAAGAACACCAAAAGUAUAGGCACGGACAGUGUCGACACGCUUUACUUGGGGAUGCCUUAUCACGAGAUAAGUCAGUUUCUGCAAGACUUCAGGUGGAGUUGAUUGUCCCACUAGUGAAACUGCAACAAAAGCUCCUAUUCCAGAUUAAAAUUCUCAAAAAAAAUAGAUAAUAAGGGCCAAACCAAGCAAUGUUCAAUGGUUAGUUAAACAACUAGCAGAUCCAAACAAAAAAACCUAAGAUGAUGGAAACAGGAGAUACCUGCAUUUUCGAGAACGGUUCUAGACCAAUUUGUGAUCGUGUAAAUUGCAAGGAUAAUAGCACCGGAGGGAUCAAUCCACCAAUAGAACUUAUCACCAAGAACAGCCGCAACUAACCCGAUUACAUUUGUCACAACAUCAAAAUAGUGAUCCUGACAAUCCGCACACAAAGAAGUUACCAUACAACUACAAAGGGAAACGAAUAACAGGCCUGUUUGAUAUUACUUUGUUUUCUGCUUUUCAUAUUUCGGAAAACAUAUAAAACUUAUUUGGCAAACUGCUUUCAGGAAUUGAAAACUGCACACAUUUUAGAGAGAACCAUAAGGACGUUUGCGGGUUUUUGGAAAUUGUUGUUGCAUAAAAUAGAUAUGAGAUAAAAAUAUUUAGUAAUUCCAAAGUUUUCAUUAUUUUGAUUCCGGAACCAUGAAAAACAAAAACGAAAAUGAAAAAUGAAAUACAAAAAAUCAGUGAGGGAUACCUUUGAAUAGGCGCGGACAAUCUCGUUCUGUGAGCUUCUGCAGUAGAACCAGAGUGCGAGUUUUACCACAGUAGCAGACAUCAUAAUUGUGUACAACCAUAUCAAUUGAUCAGAGGUCAUCUUUUCGGAAGGCUCAUCUUUAAUUAGUUGUUCUACAGCCUGGACCAAUACCUGAAAGCCUAUAAAAAUGCGUAAUUAUAAUGAACUUUUUGUUUUCACACGUCUGUUGUAUUAGAUCAUUGGAAGACAGUUUUUUUGUUAAAUUGGUGUCUGGGGACCGACUAAUCCGGAGGACCAAUACCAUCAUCCACUAGUGGGAGACCCGAUUAAAGUUGGGGCAAAGCGCCUAUAUAGAUUGGCCAAACUCAAGGAUUGAUUGCACCUGGAGAUUUAAAACCUGAGACCUUGGAAGGGAGAAUACCUUCAAGUACCAGGCCUUGACCACCAGUCCAAACCCUAGGCCCUGAGGUUAUCGUUGGAAGACAGUUCGGGUCCAAAUUCACAUCUCCGUGUGUUACUUAAAGCAAAGAAGCCAAAAAAAAAAACAUAUAAAAGGGAAACUAAAACUUUAAACAACAAAGAAAGAAAGAAUAUGCAAUAACCAAUGUGGUGAGGAAGAGACAUGGACUUUUUGAUGCCAACUGGCUCUACUUUCCCAGAAGAGCUUGGCUGUUUUUACACCCAAAAUAGGGGGAAAAAGGGUUUGAAGCAUAUCACUUGCAAGAGAAAACACCAAUAUGUUCCUUUUCUUUCAUCUUCUUUCUUCCAUUGUUUUACUCUUGUUUAAGUGUCCAACAGAAGUAGUUCUAAAGCUACGUACCUCGUAACUCAGACCUCAUAACUUAGAAUUUGACUAAUGGUACUGUUAGAUUUUUUUCUCUAAUAGUUUUUAACAAGAAAUGCUUUGGUUUGUAGUCCAUAUAUGUUACAAAUAACAACCCUCCUCCCGGAAAACCAAUGAACAGUUGAAGCACAAUUACAUACCGAGGGUGGCCAUGAUGGCAGCAAAGAUAAUUAUGCCCACUGGUUGCACCCUCAAUUUGCCAAUAGGAUAUUUAUAGAUGUUGAUGUUCUUCAUUGACAGGUGAGUGAACCAAAGUAUGCCACCGGCCAUGAGAUCAAGUAAGGAAUCUAAUGUCGACGCAGCAAUUCGCUAUGGACCCACUCUUUAUUGUGGCACAAAUCUGAAGGAGAGAAAUGCACAUGCAUUACUGGCAUGAAAUAUAAGUAACAUCACACAUCAAAGUCAUCAAACUUUCAUGUGAUGAGUCGAUCAUCUUCAAGGUUAGAUAUCGUCAUUGCUCUCAUGUUGAGCUUGUUCUUCAAGGUCUUCCUCAUCAAUAGAGUCGGAUGUCUACAGAGAAUCAACUUCCUCGAAUGAUUAUAAGGUUGCAAAUUGUCUUUCAUAGUACUCUUUUUCUCCUAUAAAUAUAAAAUGUGAAAUUAUGAGAAAGAAAAAAGAGGGAGAAGAUUUUUGAGGCGACGGUGGGGCGGGGGAAGGAGUUUAGCAAUCAAUUUUGAACAUGAAAUUUUAUUGAAAACGAAGUGGACCGCGAUACAAAGAGGCCAGUUGAAGCAGAAUUCACGUGCCAAUCACCAUGAAGAGUGCCUGUAAUUCAGCUUUUAUAAAAAUAUCCAGAAUGGAGAACUCACAUAAGUCGAGACAAUAAUCACCAAAACUGAAAACCCCCUCCGAACUUAUAUAUAAGCAUUGAAACUCUUAAUACUACUGCGAAUCAGCUAACAUAGUAGUUUCCAAUUUAAACACCAAAUAAAUUAACAUAGAAAAUCACUAGAAUAGCAACUCUGAGUUAAGUCUGAAUUUGGAUUCUUGGGACCUGAAGAACAUGUUAGGAAAGCCCUGGUAUAAAUGAAUUAGUCCGGACCAAGGUAAUUGCUAAAUAGAAGUUUCCAAAAAGGCAAAAAUGCAGAUCUAACGCCGUGGAGAAGUGUCCAAUUUAUCAGUUCGCCUCUCUACGACUGAAAAAGCUCCAAAUAACUUGAAGCUAAUAAGUCUGCAUCAAUUGUUAGUGAAAAAAGGGACACAGCGAUCACUAAACGAGCCAUGAGAAAAGAAAUUAUCAAAAUUAUUAUUCAUCCAAAUCAUCCAAUUCCAACCAACUUAACUAACCUUUUUUUUUUUUAUCGAAAUUAUCUUUGGCUUCAUUUGGAUAGUAUGAAUUACAAGUGAAGGAGUUUAACAUUAUUAUUCAACGAGAAUCGCUUGAAUCUAAAUUUUAUAGAUUACAUAUGGAUUUUCGGAUUGAGUUUAGGAGUUUUAUCAUGACAGAUGUGGAAUGAUUAUUUAGGAUUGAUAUGAAAUCCUUGGUGAUACGUAUUGCUGUUUUACAAAGAAAUACAGCUCUUCAACGUCUAAUUUAUGUUUAGCUCUAGUUUCACAAGCCGUUAAACCUUUUAUAAUUUUAUUGCAAUUAAAUAUCAAAUUCCUUUUGAAAUCAAGGCGGGCAAGGCCUAUCCAAGUGGAUCCUUAGGUUACACUUCUAUUUCUGGAUUCGAAAUGAAAGGAUUUGAGGCUAUUUGAUAGUUUACAAAUAAAUUUUGACAUUGACCUCGAGAUCUUUAUCAAUGGAUGUCAAAUGACUAUUGAAUUUGAGAUUUAAAAUUCUACAAAGAAUUGUUCGCCUCUUCCUCUUCCUCUUCCUCUUCCUCUUCCAAUUCAUCCACCUUCUGCCCUAAUUUUACAAGCAACCGAAUGUUGCAUUUGGAUUAAUAAUUUGAUAGAUGAAAAAUAUAAGGAAAUCGAGAAGUUAAUCUAUACAACAAUUCAAAUUUAAUAUUGGGUCAAUUUCACUUUUAUCCUUUCGAGUUUGUCCCAAGUUUCAUUUUAGUCCUUAUAAUUUCAACUUUCCUCCAAAAAUCUAACACCGUUAGGCAUGGAGUUAACAUUGCAAUUAGAAUUGUAAGGACUAAAGUGAAACUUAGAUCAAACCGAAGGGGUAAAAGCGAAAUUAACUAUUCUUUUUUUUAACUUGUAAUCAUAUUAAAAAAAAAUAAUACUAAAAUUGAUUGUACAUGGCACUUUACACACUCUCAUGUAGAAUGUACAAUCUUUUUAAACAUGUUAAUUAUGCUCUUAGGACACUCGUUAAUAAAAUUCUAAGUUUAAGCAAUUAAAAAGUAUAAUCUUUCAUAAAAUUAAAAAAAAAUGGUGUAGACAAAAUUUGGUGUUUUUUUAAAUUUAAUCUAUAUUUAUAACUUUUAGGCUAAUAAGAGGAAUUAAAAAAGAAUUAAUUUCACUUUUACCCCUUCAAGUUUGACCAAAUUUCACAUUUUCGUCCAAAAAUCUACCACCGUUAGGCACGUGAUUAGCAUUGCAAUUAAUCUAAAACUAUAAGAUUUGUUUUGUUCAAAUUAAAAUUAUAAGGACUAAAGUAAAACUUUGGUCAAACCCGAAGAAAUAAAAGUGAAAUUGACCAUUUAAUCAAUUUUCUUUUCUUAUUCUUUUCCUUCCACGAAUUCUUGAUCAAAAUAUAACCUUCAUCUCUUGUAUUUGAUUAUGUCAUGAAUUUUGAAAAUGAUUGCAAUGUAGACUCUCCAUCCAUAACAAUUGGAAUUUGUCGACGGAAAUAGAUAUGUGACGCACAUUACCACAUUUGAGUUUUCAAAUUAGUAUAAACAUAAGAUUAUUUUUGUCUUUGAUUUGAUUAAUAUUUUUCACUGUUUAAUCAAAAUAUUAUACUUUUUCUUGACGAGAGGAGUCUGAAAAUAUAUAUUUUUUUAAUCUAAUUUGGAUAAAAAUUCACUAAUUGCAAAAAAAAGUAUUUUUAUCACAAAAAGUCUAAAAAACUAUUUUUACCUUUUGUGUGUGUUACAUGGCUAUUUUCAUUCACAAAUUUUAGUGGAGGUAGGUGGAGGGUCCACACUGUGACUGUCUUCAAAGUUUAGGGGUAAAUAUAUUAAAAGUAAAAAAAUCUGAAUAACAAUUUUGGGUAUAAAAUAAAAAAUUACCAUUUUGUUGUUAAAAUUAAACCCUAAACCUUUUGUUUGAAAUCCAAUCUAUCCAACCAAACGGAGCCUUACAGAAUUCAUUUCUUCAACAGUAAAUUGCAACAAUCCAAACGGAGGCUUACAGAUUUCAUUCUUUCAACAGUGAAUUGGAACAAUCCAAACGGAGCCUUAUAGAAUUCAUUCCUUCAACAGUAAAUUGCAAGAAUCCAAGUUAAAACACGCAGUCACACAUACAUGCAUAUAUAUAGAGAGAGAGAGAGAGAGAGAGAGAACCUCUGGUUAAGCCAGCGGUUUUGGAGAAGUCAAUGUGCGAAGCAGACUCGAGGUCGAUCCCAGCUCGGACCUUAUCAGGCAAUCUGGUCACGAAGUCUCGCCUCAGCGAGUUAACCGAGUUCCGGCGGCUGUAUCGGCGUAACCGCCCGCUCGAACUCAGCCUCUGACCUUCCGCCGCCGCCACCAAUAGCGGCGCUUUCGCUUCCAAAUCACCACCCUCCAUUUUUAAUCACAAACCUUCACAACUCAACAAACCUCUCUCAGAAUUGUAGAGAUAUAUUAGCAUUUAUAUGCUGCAUGUGCUUCUUACAGUGAUCACAAUUUUAACUACCGACAAAAUGUCCUAAUCACAGUUGCUAUUUCAAAAUAUUAUAUUUUAUAUAAAUUUAAAAUAAAAAAAAAUUUUAAACUCAUUUUUUAUUAAAUGCAUUCUGUUUUAUUAUUAUAAAAAUAAUUAUUUCAAUAAUAAAGAGGUAAAAGUCCAGGAUAUGAAGAGAGAUAAUUUUAAAAAUUGAAAAAGUGUUAUGGAUAAUAUUAUAACAUUGCAUGAUAAAGAUAAAAGAUAAAAUUUACUUAAUAAAAAAUGGAGUAUAAAAAUUAUUACUAUUUGAAAUAGCAUCUAUUUUUACACUUGUGAAUUUCAUUGAAUAUUUUGCCAAUAUUAUUCUUAUAUUAGUAUUUAUUUAGAUUGUGCAUUUUAGAGGACAACCUUUUCACGUUUUCACUUAUAUAUUUUAGGGAAAAUUGCAUAAAAAAUUUUAUAUGAACAAAGUAAACCCUACAAUUUUAAUCGUAACAAAUAGAAUUUUAUAGUUUUAAUCUGGUAACAAUUUAAAUCAUUCGUUAGUCACAGUCUACUUAGACUAUGUUUGGGAUUCCUAUAAGAAAGAUGACGGAUAUGAUGUAGUUAUGCAAUUCAACCCGUCUAUAUCAUUGCAUAAGAGAGGAUUGAAAAAAUUUCAUAUCCUAUCUUAUCCUAUGUUUGGGGUGAAUAUUUUGGUUUAAAAGUUCCCACAUACAUCCAAUCCAAUAUGCUAUUUGGAGUAAUAUAUUUAACAAUGAAUAAAUAGUGAAUUUACUGUAUUACCUUUAAUCCUAUCUAAUUUUGUGUAUUAUUAAGGUUAUUUAAGUAUAUUUUUAUCAUUAUUCAAUCUAUACCACGUUCGACAUGGUAUAAGCAAUGCGGGCACGUCUACGGUAUAAAAAAAAUCACCCUAAAUAAAAAUACAAAGUCAUUUUUAUGAUUUUUGCGUGGGAAUCAGUUGGUUCUGCUAGCCAUAAGUAGACGAAAACUAAUAGAUGAUUUAAAUUAUUAUCGAAUUAAAAUUAUAUAAUUCGAUUUGUUAUAAUUAAAACUAUAGAGUUUAACUUGUUCCCAUGGUCAAACCUUAAUUUUUUUUGAUAAUUUUUCAUAUCAUUAUUAUGUUUAAAUACUAUUUAAUGUGGCAUUAUACAUGAUGUCAAUUACAUUUACCUAUAUAAAAUCAAUUGCAUUUAUAUAUUAAUAUAGGCAAAUGUAAUUGAUGUCACGUAUUAAUAUGUAAGAUGUUAUAGUAGCUAAGUUUAUUAGACAAUUGCAAUCACCCUAGUAUUAUUAUUUGGAUUAAGAUUCUCUAAGGUUUAUGAUUUAAACUUUAAAAUAAAAGUUGGCAGGAUUGUAGUCACAUGAUUAAAUUAUAUUUAUCUUAAAAAAGAAAUGGAUUAUCAUUCUAAAUAUUGUAGGUGUUUGUUAUAUUUGAACUUUUGUUAUAAUUGAUUAUUCAAAAACAGAAAUUAAAAAGUAUUAAAAUAAAGGAUAAAUUACACUGACCUCCCCUGAGGUUCCGAUUUAAUACACAAACUAUUCCUGAUAUUUGAAAAAUUAUAAUGACCUCCCCUGUGAUUUGAAACUUGUAACAGAUUCUUUCAUUUUAUACUGACCACCCCUGAAGUUAUGAGUUAAUACACAAAGCACCCCUGACAAAGUUACUUCUUUUUAUUUUUUUGACAAAGGAUGUUGAUUUGAUGUCAGGGGUGCUUUGUGUAUUAAUUCCGAACCUCAGGGGUGGUCAGUGCAAAAUGAAAAAAUCUUUUACAAGUUUCAAAUCUCAGGGGAGGUCAAUGUAAUUUUUUAAAAGUCAGGGGUAUUUUGUGUAUUAACCUGGAACCUCAGGGGAUGUCAGUGUAAUUUACCCUAAAAUAAAACUUUCAAAAAACUAUUUUUUUUUAAACUUUUUUUUUAAGUUUUUUGACCCCUAAGCAUCAAUAUAAAAAUCAAAAAGGCUAAUUACAAGCGUGAUUCCUGAAGUUAGACAUUUUAAAGUCCCUCUUGGUGGUUACUAUAUGUAUAGUGGAUUACUCAACUUAUAUAGUAGCAAAUUAUGAAUUCGCACAUUAACAACGACACAAACUUACACUCCAAACAUUACGUACAAUUUGGCUGACUUUAAAAGUUUGUCCACCAAUCAUUAUGCUAAAUGCCAUAAUAACUGUCAUUCAAAAAUUUCGACCCGAAACCUUGAGAAAAAAAUUGAGCGAACCCCACCUCUUUCCCUUUGAAGCAUGAAUGGAAGUUUAAGGUGGAUCCCAUCUUACUAAUUUUAUCACAAAUUUAUCCCAAUACUUGAGAAAAUGUUGCUUCUUAAGUAUUAUUUUCCAAUUAUGACGACUUUCAAAUGGGUACAAAAUUUGUCCUUCCUCCUUUUUGUCAACUCCUCGGAGUGCCACACAUACAACCCUUCACAGAAAAGGCCGGUAAAUUACACUUUACACCCUUGCACAAACAAAAUAAUUCAAUUUUUACUCUCCACUGUCAACUAUGUUAGUCAAUCCUUUUACAUUUUAAGUUUAAUUGUCAAUAUGAUUCUUCCGUCCAUUUACUACUAAAUCAAAUAAUGCAAAAAUUCCACUUGGCCUUGCAAAAAGAGGCUACGUAAACCUUAAUUAAGCAAAAUAUAGAUAAAAUAUCACAUUGACACUUGCCUUAAAGUGUAUAGGGUUAAUUGAUACAAUUAAAAGUAUAUAGCAAAAUGAGGAUAUCAAUUUGCAUUUAUAAUUGAGAGGUGAUGACUAAAAAUUGGCUAAUUGCCGCAAUUUCAAAGCUUUUCCAUGGACAUUUCACAUGAAUUUUCAUUUUUUUUAAAUGUUUUUUUUAUGAGAGUUCAAAAAAUUUAGAUUUAAAGCCCUUUUGGUUCCAAUUAUUUGUAACUUAUUUAGUUUAAUUAGUUAUGCACAAAAUUACGUUCGAUUUCACCCACUUUUCAAGCCCAAUUGCUAUUUUUGUUUAUCUAUUUCUGAUUUAUGUAUUAGGUCAUGGUUCUUUGACCCGAAGUUUAACAUACCACCUAUAACUUUAUCUAUUAGGUCAUGACUAUUUUUAAAGCUACUAUUAACCCUUUUUUUUCCUUUCUAAAGUACAACCAAAUGGAACAAAGCCAAUUUGUUUAGUCAAUCACAAGGCAAAGCACUUUUGAAAAGAGAGGGGCAAAAUGAAAAAAGAUAGAUCAGGUUUGCUACUUGUGGCAUUGAGUCAUUGACCUUAAACUCCUCCACUUUUAUGCAUUUGAAUUGGGAAUUAUUUUCUUGGAUCUUAGUUUUCUACACAUUUUUUCCAAUUAUCUUGGACCUUAUCUCCUCGACUUUUAAUUUUCCAUCUAUACAAUGUUGUGUUGCACGAAGUACGAUGUUGGUGCAAAUUUUGGGAAUAAGAUGGAAGAAGAAGAAGAAAUUGGAGUAAUUGAAAGACUACUACAAACGCUCGUUAUGAUUGUUACAUAAAUAUUCUUUUCAUAUCGCUCAAUAUAAUUCUAUACACAAGUUUUCUGAAGAAUCAUUUUACAUUUAUCAUUGAAUAGAUUUCUCCGCACCCCUUUAUGCAUAUGAAAGCGACGAAGAUGACUCGAAAUCCUAAAUGCAAAAAAAGAUUCAAAAAGAGCCAUCUUAAACACCCCGUGACCCACUCGUAUUGGAACCGCAAAAGUUGUUUCCUAUCGUUGUACCUGUAUGAAUGUGCGGCAACACAAGUAACUCAAAAAAACUCAAUCCUGGCUUCUGGGCAGCCUGCUGAGGACCGAGUGCUCUGGCUUGUGCUCAC